CAGAAAUAAUGUAAGUAAUAAAUUUUCAUAAAUACUCAAAAUGUAGUCAAGGGUUGGUGAAAUUAAUAUUAUGAACAAGUCAAAUCUUAAAUAUAUUCCUUUGGUAUAUAUUCCCGAUGAAUCUCUUAAUUUUUGGAUGUUUGCAGUUGUAUUUAUUGGUAUAACAUUCAUAGCUUUUGUUAUAUGGGUGCUGAUUGGCAUGUGCCGUUUUUAUCAAGAAGAAAGGACCAAAGAAAUGAAGAAUGGGCUGAAAAGCAAGCUCACGAAUAUCAACGAGCCUUCUUACUAUUGCAUGAACUCAUCUAAGAAAAGGAAUAAUCGGAUUAUGAGUGGGACGCAUUACAUUUUUGAUUAAAUAAGUGACUUGCAUUUAUUAUCUUAUCACCAAAAAACGAUUAUUACCAAAAUUAUAAAGUCAAAUGAUAUCUUUUCUAAAUUUGAUUUAGCUCUGUGAAUAUGAAUUAAUGUAAAUGACUCGAAUAUUUCAAGAUAUCGUUUAAUUUAAUAUUUAAUUAUCAUUAGUCAAAUCAAAAUUAUAUAGAAAAUAUAGGUUUUAUGUUUAUAAAUAAAUUUUACGAUUUUGUAAUUCAUUAAAAAUUUUAUCAUCAAUUUUCUGUUUCAAAUCUACAAGAGUGAAACCUCUGUUUAUAAAUAUUGUAAGGUGACCUUCUCAUUAAACUAAAGAAUAGAGCUGGUCAUCACGAAGAGUGGCUACAUUGGGAGGUUUCACUAUAAUAUUAUAUAUAAAUGGUGCAUAAAACAAUUGAAUAUUUA